AAAAGUUAGCUUUGUUGCUUUACUUCAAGGGGCCAUUGUCUCUGCGAGUUGCUUUACUUUGCAUAGGUACAUUCCUAUAAGCUCAGUUGAGAAGUUAGCUGUGUUCGAUUGAAGCUAAGGGCAGAAAGAGAUAAAAGACAGUAGGCAUGGCGGCCGCCGCCACCACUAGAGUACUCUAACUGCUUCGUGACCGCCGCCGUCACCAUUCCUCUUCUCAUUCACAGGUAUGUAUGUGUGUGUGCAUAAUAUUCCUUUUUAAUCACAGCAUUGAGUUGACUGAUAAUUUCUAUACAAAAAAUUAGGCUUGAUAGUCUUUACAUUAGAUCGGGACAGUAACCUAAAUGUAAAGUAUUUUCAAGUGCUUUGUAUGAAUUUAACUUAAUCAAUCAAUUAUAUUCACUGUGAAUCUUAUCUUUUUUUAUUUGUAUUUUUAAAAUAUUUUUUAUUUGCAUUUUAAAAAAAUUCUUAACUGGGACUCGUGGCUCUAUUGAACCAUCUUCCACCAUUAAGGUUGUCUUAUAGAAAUUUAAUUUAACUAUUAUAUAUAAUGGUAAAGAAAACUAAAUUACUCUCUGAUUUUUUUUUUUUUGACUUUCAGAAAAGUUAUGAUUCUAUACAAAAUUUAAUACGGAGUUUGUUAAUUUCCCCUAUAUUGUAAUCAAUAUAUACCAUUUGCAUCCUACUGUUUUUAUAAUAACCAAUAAAUCUCCCGAUACUAUAAGCUUAUAAAAUUAUCCUUAUUUUUAAAUACACUCUUAUUAAUAUUUAUUAUAGAUUAAAUAAAUCACAUGAAUGAAAAUUAAAAAAAAAAGUAUUAAAAGAAGAAAUAUAUGUUUUGAUGUGAAAAAAAUUAAUAAUAAAAUAUUUUUCUCGUACUUUUUUUAUUUUAUAAACAUUUUCUUAUAAUAAAGAUAUAAAAAUUAUUAUAAAAUAAAUAAUAAAAUAUUUUUCUUGUACUUUUUGUAUUUUAAUUUUAAAAUAUUAUAAAAUAUUUAUUAGAAGAAAAUGUUUACAAAAUAAAAAAGUACAAGAAAAAAUUUUAUUAUUAAUUUUUUUGUUCUCAUCAAAACAUAUAUUUCCUUUUUUUAAUUUUUUUUAUUCAGUUUCAAUUCAUACAAUUUAUUUAAUUUAUAAUAAAUAUAAAUAAAAGUAUAUUCGAAAAUAGGGAUAGUAUUUUAAACUAAUGAUGUUGGGGGGUUAUUGGCUAUUAUAAAAAUAGCAAGGGAGUAAAUGAUAUAUCUUAACUACUGUUGGGGAAAAUUUGACAAUCUCAAUUCAAUAUUUCUGACUUCUUGAUUUUGCUUUAAAUCAAAAAUUGAUUAUGUCUAUUCUUUUGCUUCUGUUACAGAACGGCAUACACCAAGAAAUUAAGUUUAAUUCUUGACUCCAAUAUGGAAGAAACCAGCAGAUCAUCAAACCGAGAAGAUCAAACCAACGUCUUCAGGUUAAAAAACAAAUAGUCUAUGUAUUUGAUAUUCGAUAUUCAGAAUUGAAUUUUUGCUACUUGGAUAGUAUAAAAUUUCAAUUGGUGUAGUUCUUGGUUCAUUAUUCAUAAUGAAAAUUAAAGCUUAAAGUCUCGAAUAUUUUUGUGGAGGGUUGGUUUGCUUUACGGAUUGCAUGUGAGGGAACUAGACGUAUGUAUAUAUGCUGAAGUUGAUGAAGUUUAAUUUUAGAAGGGCUAUGUUUGAUAAUUAUCAAUGGGAAAUUGUCUGGAAAGCAGAGGAAAUUCUGUAGGAUGUUCAAUAUAUAACUAAAAAUAAGUUGUUGGAUUUGCCUUAUGUAAUCAAAAAUUUAGUUGCAAACCUUAAAUUGGAUUCACUUUUUCUUUAUUCUUCUAAUACGGAGUCCUUACCUAACUGCUAAACUUAUGAGUAUAAUGUCUUAUCAAGAAUGGUCCGCAGAAACAAAAACGAAGACCAAAUCACUGUGAUGGAGCCAAACAUAAGUAAACAAAC
rnacentral:lncRNA from 1 species